rnacentral:rRNA from 1 species
AGUUUGAUCAUGGCUCAGGACGAACGCUGGCGGCGUGCUUAAUACAUGCAAGUCGAGCGAGGCCUUGGAAUUGGAGUCCUUCGGGAUGAAGAGUCCUUGGCCUAGCGGCGGACGGGUGAGUAACGCGUGGGCAACCUACCCCAAAGUCCGGGAUAACAGUGGGAAACCGCUGCUAAUACCGGAUGGCUUUACCUGAGGGCAUCCUUGGGUAAAGAAAGGUUACGCUUUGGGAUGGGCCCGCGUCCCAUUAGCUAGUUGGUGAGGUAACGGCUCACCAAGGCGACGAUGGGUAGCCGGCCUGAGAGGGUGAACGGCCACACUGGGACUGAGACACGGCCCAGACUCCUACGGGAGGCAGCAGUAGGGAAUAUUGCGCAAUGGGCGGAAGCCUGACGCAGCGACGCCGCGUGAGCGAAGAAGGCCUUCGGGUCGUAAAGCUCUGUCCUUGGGGAAGAAGGCGAAAGCUUGACGGUACCCAAGAAGAAAGCCCCGGCUAACUACGUGCCAGCAGCCGCGGUAAUACGUAGGGGGCGAGCGUUGUCCGGAAUUACUGGGCGUAAAGGGUGCGUAGGCGGCCUUUUAAGUCAGAUGUGAAAGGCUGCGGCUUAACCGCAGGACUGCAUUUGAAACUGGAAGGCUUGAGUGUCGGAGAGGGUAGUGGAAUUCCCAGUGUAGCGGUGAAAUGCGUAGAUAUUGGGAGGAACACCAGUGGCGAAGGCGACUACCUGGACGAUAACUGACGCUGAGGCACGAAAGCUAGGGGAGCAAACAGGAUUAGAUACCCUGGUAGUCCUAGCCGUAAACGAUGGGUACUAGGUGUAGGUGGUUUCGAUACCAUCUGUGCCGCAGUUAACGCAAUAAGUACCCCGCCUGGGGAGUACGGUCGCAAGACUGAAACUCAAAGGAAUUGACGG